rnacentral:rRNA from 1 species
CUACGGGAGGCAGCAGUGGGGAAUUUUGGACAAUGGGCGAAAGCCUGAUCCAGCCAUGCCGCGUGUCUGAAGAAGGCCUUCGGGUUGUAAAGGACUUUUGUCGGGGAGGAAAUCCCCAGCGCUAAUACCGCUGGGGGAUGACAGUACCUGAAGAAUAAGCACCGGCUAACUACGUGCCAGCAGCCGCGGUAAUACGUAGGGUGCAAGCGUUAAUCGGAAUUACUGGGCGUAAAGCGUGCGCAGGCGGUUUGAUAAGCCAGAUGUGAAAUCCCCGAGCUCAACUUGGGAACUGCGUUUGGAACUGUCAGACUAGAGUGCGUCAGAGGGGGGUGGAAUUCCGCGUGUAGCAGUGAAAUGCGUAGAGAUGCGGAGGAACACCGAUGGCGAAGGCAGCCCCCUGGGAUGACACUGACGCUCAUGCACGAAAGCGUGGGGAGCAAACAGGAUUAGAUACCCUGGUAGUCCACGCCCUAAACGACGUCAAUUAGCUGUUGGGGGUUAGAAUCCUUGGUAGCGUAGCUAACGCGUGAAAUUGACCGCCUGGGGAGUACGGCCGCAAGGUUAAAACUCAAAUGAAUUGACGGA